AUUGAACGCUGGCGGCAUGCCUUACACAUGCAAGUCGAACGGUAACAGGUCUUCGGAUGCUGACGAGUGGCGAACGGGUGAGUAAUACAUCGGAACGUGCCCGAGAGUGGGGGAUAACGAGGCGAAAGCUUUGCUAAUACCGCAUACGAUCUCAGGAUGAAAGCAGGGGACCGCAGGGCCUUGCGCUCACGGAGCGGCCGAUGGCAGAUUAGGUAGUUGGUGGGAUAAAAGCUUACCAAGCCGACGAUCUGUAGCUGGUCUGAGAGGACGACCAGCCAAACUGGGACUGAGACACGGCCCAGACUCCUACGGGAGGCAGCAGUGGGGAAUUUUGGACAAUGGGCGCAAGCCUGAUCCAGCCAUGCCGCGUGCAGGAUGAAGGCCUUCGGGUUGUAAACUGCUUUUGUACGGAACGAAAAGACUCUGGUUAAUACCUGGGGUCCAUGACGGUACCGUAAGAAUAAGCACCGGCUAACUACGUGCCAGCCGCCGCAGUAACAC
rnacentral:rRNA from 1 species